GAGUGAGGCUGGAGGAGCUGCCUCGUGGGGGACCAGAGUUUGCUGGGAGGCUGGAGACAACGGGAACACCGACAAGUGCCAGGACUGGCGUCCACGGGGCCGACUGCCUGCCACCACCUCCAACCCCCGGCUGGAGCCUCGGGUCUCCUGGCCCAGGCUGCCCUCGGGGUUGCAAGACGUCUGCAACGAUGCGAUGCUUUGCUUUCAGGGUGCCGUCUCCCUCGGCUGUAAGCCAAGAGGCUCAGUCCUGGGGACAUGUGGAGGGAUGUGCUGGGUUCUCAGUGUGGCAGAGGAGGGAUCCCAUCAGGUCCUGCUGCCGCCAUCAGCUGCCUGACACCGUUGUGGUUUCCUGCUGGAGCUUCCAGAGGGGGAGGCACAACGCACCGAUGAAGGUUGAAUCCUCUUCCUCAGGGCUGUGCAGGCCCGUUGCAAGCAAAGAAUAUCUCCUUUUCUGCAAGCUGCUGACCUCCUGGCUCGCGCGCUGCACUGUGCUGCAAGAAGCUAACAGAUGACUCAAGGUCUUCACAUGCAUUUGC